GUCAUACUACGGUGCAUCGUACGGUAAAGUAAACGAUGACCCUCAGGGAACUUCAGGUUAAAAUGCAUAUCAAAAUGCAAAAUCGUUCCUGACCUGGUGCUUUGCUCCGGGUCGGUUUUUUU
rnacentral:sRNA from 1 species